AGAAAGACGAUGAACAAGAGGAGUAGUAAGUCCCCCUUUUUAUAGAGAGAAAAUCAUUGGUGGAAGAUUUUUAAAAGAGACUUAUGAAGGUAGCUUGGGAGUUUCGUGUGACUAUUAGUUUCUCACGACGAGUUGUAUUCGUUACAUACAGAAUGAGCAGUAAAUACAUGUAUUUACUGAAAUUUAGGUGGUACCGUGAUGAAUUCGCCCUAAAC
rnacentral:ncRNA from 1 species